GUCGUAACGGAGCCUGGGCUGCACUCGGCCCCCGGCGUGACCCGCGUGUGGCGGUGCCCCCCCUGUGCUCCGAGGGUGCCAAAAGUUUUACUGAAAAUCAUCAAGACAAAGCUGCUGCAUAGAGAGCUAACAACUUCAAUUAGCAAAGUAGUCCCCCCAUAAGAAGAAACAGAACAGCAGGACCUGAAAUAGUGUAAGGUAUUUGGUUAAUUAAAAAAGGUUUCAUAAAGCAAGUUUUACCACAUUAAAUCUACUUGGAGGUUAUUUCUUCUUUAGUGAAGAGAAAGAUAUAGUUCAUAAUUAUUCAUUUUUAAUUUUUGAUUAGUGAA
rnacentral:lncRNA from 1 species